rnacentral:rRNA from 1 species
UGGGGAAUAUUGCACAAUGGGGGAAACCCUGAUGCAGCAACGCCGCGUGAGUGAAGAAGUAUUUCGGUAUGUAAAGCUCUAUCAGCAGGGAAGAAAAUGACGGUACCUGAGUAAGAAGCCCCGGCUAACUACGUGCCAGCAGCCGCGGUAAUACGUAGGGGGCAAGCGUUAUCCGGAUUUACUGGGUGUAAAGGGAGCGUAGACGGCGAGGCAAGUCUGAUGUGAAAGCCUGGGGCUUAACCCCGGAACUGCAUUGGAAACUGCUUUGCUGGAGUGCCGGAGAGGUAAGCGGAAUUCCUAGUGUAGCGGUGAAAUGCGUAGAUAUUAGGAGGAACACCAGUGGCGAAGGCGGCUUACUGGACGGUAACUGACGUUGAGGCUCGAAAGCGUGGGGAGCAAACA